CAGCACCUGAAAUCAAGCAAGGUUACCCGCUGAACUUAAGCAUAUCAG
rnacentral:rRNA from 1 species